rnacentral:rRNA from 1 species
AACGAACGCUGGCGGCAUGCCUAACACAUGCAAGUCGAACGAAGGCUUCGGCCUUAGUGACGCACGGGUGCGUAACGCGUGGGAAUCUGCCCCUCGGUUCGGAAUAACAGUUAGAAAUGACUGCUAAUACCGGAUGAUGACUUCGGUCCAAAGAUUUAUCGCCGAGGGAUGAGCCCGCGUAAGAUUAGGUAGUUGGUGGGGUAAAGGCCUACCAAGCCGACGAUCUUUAGCUGGUCUGAGAGGAUGAUCAGCCACACUGGGACUGAGACACGGCCCAGACUCCUACGGGAGGCAGCAGUGGGGAAUAUUGGACAAUGGGCGAAAGCCUGAUCCAGCAAUGCCGCGUGAGUGAUGAAGGCCUUAGGGUUGUAAAGCUCUUUUACCAGGGAUGAUAAUGACAGUACCUGGAGAAUAAGCUCCGGCUAACUCCGUGCCAGCCGCCGCCGUAA